AUAUUAAGACUGGAGGUUUAUUAAAUGCUUUAUCGUAAAAUAUUAAGCCCACACUAUUACAAUACACAGGCUCGAUGUUCUAACAAGUAACACUGUGCCUCAAUCGAGGGAAGUUCAUGAUGCCAAUACAAGGUGGAAUUGUGGGGAAUUACAAAUACAGAGAUAUUUUCCUUUUCCUCUUCUACAACUGCAAUACUGAUGUUCAGAAAUGUUUACACAUUGAGAAAAACUUGUAAAAUUUCCUGAGUGUUCCAUUAAACAAUUUUUUUAAAUUAGGUUACCCUAAUGGAAAACAUGAAAAUUUCCUGGUGGAAAAUCUAUUUUAAUAUUUAUUAUCUUCAAUAACUGAGAACCAUAAUCCUAAAUAUUUAUUAUGCCAUAAGAAAGUCUUUGGAAUUAUCAUAAGGCUUUCUAGAACAAGAUAAAUUUCAAGGCAAUGUACCAAGGACUAAAUUUUAUUCAACCACCAACUUAGUGAUAUGCAAAGAUAAAAGAAAAGUCAAGGUUAGCUGAUUUUCUUCCAAAUAACAGGAACUAAGAAAUAUUAGGGGAAAACAAGGAUGUAGGAAUGAGUGGAUAUUAGAUGAGGAGAGAGAUGGCUAGGGAAAGGUACUGAGACUAGUUAGCAUUUACUAGCAUAUAUUUUCAUUCAUUAGUCAACAUUUUCUUCAUAUAUAUAAUUAUUUCAAGAUAGCACUUCUAAACACUAAAUUGGUUCAUUCAUUUUUCAAGUCAGUUGCAAAGAAAUUUCAAUCCAGAAUAUCUAAAGUUAAAGCUAAGAGCAUUUUGAUACUUACCCCUAAGAAUAUCUGGCAUUCUCAGCUGUAGCUCUUGAAUACAUGGUUUCUUA
rnacentral:lncRNA from 1 species